CACCUCUCCACACCUCCCCUCAAAAUCCGGCCGUGGUACAAAUCAUCGAAAACAAACAGAUGUUUUGAGUUUUAACUCAUUGAAUGCCAGCUCCCUCCAAUUGACAAUUAAAAUCGCCUACCAUUAGACAGAGUAAAACACUAAAGUAAGGUGGGUUAUUCCUAUAACCUCAAUUAUUUACUACAGCCUUUCAUUUCUGUUAAACGAAAUUGGCUAUUAAGUCAGUGAUUUAAAUCCAUUGUCAGGCGGGAUGAGGAUAAAUACAUUAUUAACAUUUUUGACAGUUGGUGUUGAGACAGAUCAAUAUGCAUAGCCAACGCAUUUGAGGACCAUGGGCAAUAUUUUAUCAGGCUGAGCCUGUUUUGUGUAUACUACGUACCCCGGUACCGUAGGUAGUUACUUACUAGAGGAUACACAAUAUAUGGCGGGUUCAACAGAAUUGCCCGAGAAUGGAUGAGAGUUUAGUAAAUGGCAUAGUAAACAAGAAAGUCCAACAUUAUUGUGAAUCAAUGUGUAAUUUUUAAAGCAAAAUUGUUAUUAAAAAAACACACAGAGCUUGUUCUGACAUUAUAGGGAUAUACCGGAUCUGGGUACCUGUAUCCAACAUAGACGGAUUUUCAUAUUUUUUACUGGGGUGGUGCCAGAAAUUUUAGGGGGGUGAGCCGUGAGCAGGUGACUGAAGCAACACAAAGUGUCACCAAACCCCAGUAAGGUCUAUAUUCUAGGGGUGGAGCACUAGAGCCGCGAGGGGGAGUCUAGAGAGCAGAAAACAAAGUAUCCCUGGAAAAAUUUGAAAAAAAUCAUGAUUUCUAGCUUCGAAAAAACGUUUUUUGAAGUUGUCAUAUCAAUGGAUUUGGCCUGUCCGAUCAGGGCCGUAGCUAGCAUGUAUAGUUUGGGGGUGGGGGGUGUAGGCCAAAUAUUUCCGAAUGACGAAAAAAAUUUCCGAAUAUUUCAUGGCAUACGAAGCAACGAAGGUGUUUGCUAUCUGGAAAAUGAAGACGCAAUUUACAAACAAAAAUACACAUAGCCCACAUAGUUUCCACAAAGACAUAUUACAGAAGUAUGCAGUGCCGUAGGAAGCUCUUUUUGAUUGGGGGCUGGGAACGAGGGCCGAAGGCCCGAGGAAAUUUUUAAAUUUAGAUUCUCUGAAAUGCCAUUUCCUGGACUUUGGGGGAAGUUUUGACAGAAUUCUGAUGGUCAGAAAACAGAGUUUUAAUAUGAUAUUUGUGAUGUUACUCUGAGUAUGCAUCCACAGUGGGCAAGCUGAAAAGUGUGCCUGGCCACGGUGGGAGUCGAACCUGCGACCUUUGGGAUACUAGUCCAAUGCUCUCCCACCUGAGCUACGUGGUCAAGUCGGUUCGACUUGUUGAUAUUUCGGAACUGAAUCUAGUUCCUUCGACAUCAGUGUAAUCUUUGAUAUGAUUUAUGUGUGUGUGUUGGUGUUGUGUACUCAAGUGAAUAUGAUGUUUGUGAUGUUACUCUGAGUAUGCAUCCACUGAUCCACACCGGGAAGCUGAAAAGUUAGCUUGCCCACGGUGGAAAUAAAACCCGCGACCUUUGGGAUGCUAGUCCAAUGCUCUGCCAACUGAGCUACGUGGUAAAGUCGGUUUGAGUUGUUAAUAGAGUUUUAGUAUGUCGAAAUUUACAAUUUACUUACAAUUUAGCAGAAUUAAAUGGGCGAAGUCGUAUUUAGCUAUAUAUUGGAGAAGUUGCAGGAAAGAGUAUGGGUACUAUAAUUCUUUGCGGUUUGUCAUGGAUAAUGUAGCCGCUUAAAA
rnacentral:lncRNA from 1 species